UGAGCAAUCUGCCCUUCACAUCGGAAUAACCAUUGGAAACGAUGGCUAAUACCGAAUAUGACUUCGGAUCGCAUGAUCUGAAGUGGAAAGCUCCGGCGGUGAAGAAUGAGCUCGCGGCCUAUCAGCUUGUUGGUGAGGUAAUGGCUCACCAAGGCGACGACGGGUAGCCGGCCUGAGAGGGUGACCGGCCACACUGGGACUGUGACACGGCCCAGACUCCG
rnacentral:rRNA from 1 species